rnacentral:rRNA from 1 species
GACGAACGCUGGCGGCGUGCUUAACACAUGCAAGUCGAACGGAAAGGCCUCUUUCGGGGGGUACUCGAGUGGCGAACGGGUGAGUAACACGUGAGUAACCUGCCCUUGACUUUGGGAUAACUUCAGGAAACUGGGGCUAAAACCGGAUAGGAGCUCCUGCUGCAUGGUGGGGGUUGGAAAGUUUCGGCGGUUGGGGAUGGACUCGCGGCUUAUCAGCUUGUUGGUGGGGUAGUGGCUUACCAAGGCUUUGACGGGUAGCCGGCCUGAGGGGGUGACCGGCCACAUUGGGACUGAGAUACGGCCAGACUCCUACGGGAGGCAGCAGUGGGGAAUAUUGCACAAUGGGUGGAAGCCUGAUGCAGCAACGCCGUGUGCGGGAUGACGGCCUUCGGGUUGUAAACCGCUUUCGCUCAUGACGAAGCUUUGUGUGACGGUAGUGGGUAAAGAAGCACCGGCUAACUACGUG